rnacentral:lncRNA from 10 species
UAUACACUUAAAUAUUGUUUAUGUCAGAUGGUGGUAAGUUCUAUAGAGAUAAAUGAAACAAGAUAAAGAGGAUAGAAAGUACCAGUGGUCAUAAGUGAAGAUGGUCAGUGAAGACCUGAAGGAAGCGAAGGUACAAACAGUACAGAUAUUCUGUGAAGAGAAAGUAUCAUGCUAGGUACUAGAAAGUUGGUGUUAAGAAAAUCUCAGAUAUGUGAAAUAUGUUUCACUUUGGAAUUCAUUGUAAAAUGUUUUCUUUUUGUUUCAUAUUACUAAUAACUGCAUUAAGCCUAAAGAGUAACAGUUAAAUAUUAAGAUUAAUACUUACUUCUUGCAUGUUUACUGACAGCAGUAGGUGAAAAUGGCACAGAAGUGUGGGGAAGCAACCCUAGAAUUCAAAAAAGUCUGUAGAUAUUCCCAUCAGCAAAUCAUUUACAGUUGACUCUUGAACAAUGGAGGGAUUAGGGACACCAACCCCCUGUGCUGCUGAAAAUCUGAAUACAACUUUUUACUCUCUCCAAACUUUACUUAUAGCCUCCUAUUGGCUGGAAGCCUUUCUGAUAAAUAAGCAGUAGAUUAACACGUAUUUUGUAUGUUAUAUGUAUCAUAUAUUGUAUUAAAAUAAAGGUAGAAGAAAGAAAAUGUUAUUAAAAUCAUCAGGAAGAGAAAAUACAUUUACUAUUCAUUAAGUGGAUCAUGAUAAAAGUCUUCAUCCUCCUUGUCUUCAUGUUGAGUAGGCUGAGGUGGAGGAGGAAGAGGAAGGAUUGGUCUUGCUCUUAGUGGUAGCAGAGGUGCAAGGGGAAGCAGGAAAGGCAGGCACACUACGUGUAAUUAUGAAAAUGCAUUGUAACUUCUGUCUGAUGUUUUGCUUUUUUUCAUUUCUCAAAAUAUUUCUAUAUAUGGUAUUAAUCCUUCUUCCACCAUUUGCUUUAGUUUUAGUGCCUGUGUGAUAGAAGGGUUCAUGUUGUAAAAUCAGUCUUGAAUAAUCAGAACACUUCUACCAGAUUGUCUAAUGUUGAUUUGUUUUCUGGCACUGCUUCUAAAUGUCUUCCUCCUCAUUCUGUGGCACUGAUUCAGAGGCACUCAUCUCCAAAAGCUAAGCUUUUGAAUUGCUUAGCUUUUGAUUCACUCCAGGAUUCAGAUCUUGAAACUUUCUACCCUCCACCAUUUAUUUAUUUAUUUAAUUUGACAUAUCUACAACCUCUUUCAUGAUUUUCUUGAUUGGCUCUGUUGUAAAUUCUGCGAAGUCACACACAACAUCUGGUUGUUUUCCUCAGCAGGAAUUUAUUGUUUUGGGCUUGAUGGCUUUCAUGUCUUCUGUAGCAACAAUGGCAUCAUCAGUGGUGGAAUCCUUCCAGACUUUGAUGAUGUUCUCUUUGUUAGAGUUCUCUUGCAUGGCACUGAUGGUUCUUUGCAUAGAGUACUGUGUGUAAUGAGCCUAUAGGUCCUUAUGACUCCCUGAUCUAGAAACUAAAUUAGAGACAUUGUGUUUGGGGGCAAAUAGAUCACUUCGAU